AAAAAUGAGAAAUGAUUACAAUAAUUAAAAAGGGCAUAUUAUCAAUAGGAAAAGAAAAAGUAGGGCAAAUCAUCAAACAGAAUAUAAAGCAGGGCAAAUUAUCAACUGCCCAAAUAAAGUGGGGCAUAUUAUCCAAUCUCCCCACCGCCACCCGUGUGCAGCUCCGCCAUCGCCUCCCUCCAUUGCUGAUCUCCAUCUUAUCUCUUUCUGCAAGGGGGGCUCGUCCUUACAUGGUGCUCAACCGGGGAUUGAGAUUUGGAGGGAGACUAGGGAGACCCCGGCGAAAACGAGCGUGCUAGCGGAGGCUCCGGGAAUGCAGGGUGAUAGGGCCCAGUCUAUGCUCCCGUUGUGUUGUUGCUUCUGGACGGGAUUUAGACAAGGAAACGGAGACCCGUGCAAAAUCGAGCAUCCUGGUGGUGCCUCGACCAAAGCGGGUCGACGGAUAGCGCCGGUGAGCACGGAGCAUGGUGCAGCGAGUUGGAUAGGCGGUAAGAGAGGUGACCACGGGUGUGGCUUGGGGAGCUCCGCACACAUGAAGUGAUGAUGAGUGCAUCCGACCCCACCAUGCUGCUGGUCCUGGAGAACAAGGUAUUGGCAUUUGUCAUUGUACAACACUAGCGAACCGGCAAGCAAUGAAGUUGUUUAUUCCAUUCCCCUGUAAACUAUGAACUGAAUGGCUACUGUGUUGAUGUAUAUUUGUUUAACUGAAGUUUAGUUUUAUUAUGUCCAUACCUUUGAUUCGUUCUACUUUAGUGUGGUCUGAGAUAUAAUGAUUUAUUAUAUGUGUAUCACAUAUCUAUUUAUACUUAGUUUGGAAAUUGCAGCAUCCUCUCCUAACUGUCUGAAUGGGGGCUUUUAGCUAAUUAUUACCAAGCACUUAAAUUUCUAAAACUGAAAAGAUAUUAAAGAAACACAAACUGUUUCAGAAUACUCCAGGAUUGAAUUUGGUCAUUGCGCCUUAAUAAGAUAUCAAUCAAAAGCUUAGUGAAAAAUAAAUAUAUUACCAACGCGAGGUACUGAAUUAAAAUGUGCAUCUACAUCUUAUUGUACAGAACAAGCUUACUUAUUUUAAUUAAAGGGGUAUAUAUAUAUAUAUAUAUAUAUAUAUAUAUAUAUAUCAAAUCAGUAUAGUCCUUUUUAACUUUGAGCUAACACAGAAAAUUGUAUAGAGAAAAUUUACGAUCGCAUUUUGAAAACUCUAUUGCAUAGUUUGAACCUUCAAUUUUCAUUACUAAAAGGAUCGUUGGUAUUGCCAAAUUGCCAAGCAUUUAUUUUCAAUUACUCUUGGUUUGGCAUGGACACUGUGUCAUUUGGCGCCAUUCGAUGCCCAACUCCUAUCAUUUGUUGCAUUUAUCUAUUCUAGAUAAAAUGAAAUGAAUCUUCAGUGUUGGGACUAAUGAUUGACACUUGUUGUCUAAAUGCAGUACAUGCGCAUUGCAGCGGUAAUGUUGUUAACUGUCCCUGUAUAUUCCUUAGUUAGAUGUCUAAUAAAUCAAGAAUUUGACACUUGUCAGUAAGUUCAGUAUAUCAUCGUUUACUUAGACAAAAUACAUCAUGGUCAAACAAUACACAUAUUUCACAAGUAGAAAAGGCAUACAAAUAUUAAUUUCCAGUAAAAUGAUGAAGUGUUCAGAUAUAUCAAUGCUUUCACCUCACUUGUCAUGCUGUUAUGAACUAUAUUUUUUGUGUAAUUGCUAUAUCAGAAUCGAAGUAACCCAUUCGACGCUUGACUGUAUCUUAGCAUGCUUAUUGAGUACAUUCCUUAUGUCAUUUUUACAGAUAAAUUAUUUUGUGUCAAGUAUCGCUUUUUGCCAUAUGGACAUGACAAGUUGUCAUACAUCGGCCUGUCAAAUUUAUCGGGUGCCAAGUUCACUUGCCAUAUUCUCAAUUUUGUUUCUUCUAAUUUUGGUGUUGGUGUGUGUAUUGUUAGUGAAAAUAUGCUCAUAGUUUUUUUUAAAAUAUGUGUACGCCAUUAACUGAUGUCAUUGUGUUUUCCAAGGGUAUAUGAACCAGAAAUGAUGUGAUAUACUUGGUUAUUUGAACAUGAAGGUCAACCGCGGGGUGGCGCGACAUGGACGAAACCAUACAUGGAUCCUUUGCCUCCUUUAUUGCUCAGACCCCAUGAUACAACCUCGGCGGCUGUCCAGCGACUAACAGGUGAAUAGACAGUCAACAAAUGUGUAAUCAGCUUUCCCUGGGUCCUGCAUCAUCUACAAAUAAUCAAAUUUUGUGGCGAGCGUCUUAUAAGUCAGCAUACCUAUUUCUCUACACUGGAUAGCUUUUAUUGUGACUACAAAGAAUAUACUUUGAGGAUGGCAUGCCAAUUGUUCUAUGUCUUGGGGUCCUCCACCUAUGGUGAAAAUAGCUCACAUGAUGAUGUUGGAUAUUCUUCUACAAACUUCUGGCCUACCAGUGGCUGAGUAUCGAAGCAAAAUGUGACAGUUGCAUGAUGUGCUUGACUGUUUAUUUGCAUACAGCAAUAUCAUCUUUUGGAGAUAUAAACAGCCGUAUGGCUGUUACAUGAGACCAUGUCGGAAGACCCUGCUGCUAUGUAAGGAAAAGGAUUCAUGAUACCCGCGGUGAAAACAGAGAUAAGAUGAUACAGUUAGAGCAGCAUUGAGAAACCAAGGACACGAAAUGAGUCUGAAAAAUGCUAUGGGCUGAUUCGUUCUAGCUAGGCUAUGUGUGGUAGAAGUUGUACUCACAGGAAGACUAUCGUGCUUUGUAUAAACCACGUUCUAUGAUUCACUUCUAUUAUGCUUAUUUACAUUCCAGUGUUAGGACUGAAAUCCAUCUAUUUAAUGAAUUUGGUUGUAUUGGCAUUACCUAUUUGACUUAGGCUUGGUUCAUCACAUAUAGCCUGUUUUUCUUGUAACCCGCUACUUGUAUGACCUAAAACUGUCAUGUAUAAGGCAAGUUAUUAGCAAUGUUUCACAUUUUCUUACUUGCAA